rnacentral:lncRNA from 1 species
AAAAAACCCAGAAAUAAUAGAGUAUGUUGAGACUUUCUCAAAUACUGUUCCAUUGGUUGUUUUUGGUUUUUGUUGAAGUUUUAAGUUUCUGGUAAUCUAGAGUCAUUUGAGGUUGAAAUGAGUUGAAGUUCAGUCAUUUUAAAGCUUGUCUAAGUUUGUUCAAUUGGAAAACACUAUUACAUUGAGGGUUCCACUGGGAGUUCCGAAAUUUCUCAUCCCCUGAAUGAUAUUUGGUUCCAUUUGAGUUGUAAAAAUGGAUUUCUAACAUUGUUGAGUGCUGAGCCGUGGGUGUUAUAGUUCCCUCAUUCCAGUCUUCCUUUUCAUUUCUAGGUACAUGACUUUGUAACCCUUUGGCUGUGAAUUGAACUUGAGGAAUAACAUGUUGUGAAGACAAAAAUGAAGAUUUCCUGAUUGCUUUCCAUUUUCUUUCCAUUUCUCCUUUGUUUUCCUUAUCUAUGGCCUUAAGUCAUAUUGGUUAUCUAAGGUGACUAAUAGAAUGACCAUAGAUUUAGCUUUUUGAAUGUUAUAUGGUAACUUAGUUUGAUGUUUAUUCUAGGUUGGUGCUUUGCAUGUAGUCACUUUACCAUUCGUUGUUUCGAAGGCAGUAGUUGGAUUGGUUUAAAUGAAAUUGACUUGAUUAUGUUCAUUUUAGGCUAUUAAAUUUGCUGGGAAUUGGUUUCUAUGCCUAGCUUAUGUAUACUUUCAGAAUAUGUGUUUGUAUUGCUUGUUUAGUGUAUUGUUUUAUUAGAAUUGGUAUUCUCGAAGAAUUGUGAUUCAAACCAUGAAUUCACAGUUAAGUUGAGUCUGAAACUUGCUAAGCCAUGUGGGAUCUUCUGCAUAUUCUUAGAGUUUUUACUUGUUUACAUCCUCAAGUGUACAUGGCUGCUCGCUUUAGCAGGAAUUUGGACAUGUUCUUAGUUUUUCCUUAAGAUUCAGUUUAAUUUUUUUAGGAUCAACUUAAUUUUUGUUUCUUAUUUUUAGACCCUGAAUUUUACAUCUUGGUCUCUCGUAAUUUCUUUUUGGAAUUCAAGGGAUACGUUUAUGGUCUUGAGAAUUAGAACUCAAAUAAUGAGUUUGAAGUUUGGCAAGUUACCAAAAUUAACUAGUCAAUGCAAUACUUCACUCAUUUUGCUGUUGUCAAGUUUGUGACUGGAUUUUAUGUUUCCUCUCACGCGUCCAAAUCCAGCGUUUUACACAAUGUUUAGCUUUUUCUUCCUUUUAUAAUUAUUUGAGACAGAUUAAUACUGGUUUCAUGUGCCAUUGCUUUGCUAAUUUAGUUAAUGUUAUUGGGCCCAGAUUUGGUCGACUCGGUGGGCCUUGGACCAUGAGUUCACUUGAAUUGAAUUUUCCGGCCUCGCAACGAGUCCUAUGGAUGAUCAUUUGGGGUAGCCAGGGCAGGUUGUUGGCUCUCAUGCCUAGCACAAGAUUUUGUUUCAAAACCUUCAACCAUAGUCUCUAUUGAAUUAACCCAUGCAGUAGUACAAUUUCGACUCCUUAAUUUCUCAAAUAAUCAAACUCCUUUAGAUAAUUGAGGUGUGUCAUAAUAGAUAUAACGAGUAGUUUACGACCGGUCGAGCCUUUAGUUUGAAUACCCUUUUUAGAAUAAUUUGAGGUGUGCCAUGCCAAGCAAAAAUGAAAAUUGCGUGGCCCUCUUUUAAUUAGUCUUAACUUAACCUUAGAAUUCGAGGCGUUCCAUUUAGCUAAAUUCCAUGGACUUCGCAAAAUUAAAAACGCGUAGUUACUUUAGGCCCGUACUUUAAUAAUAUUACUUUCCUAAACUCGGGUAUGCAUUUCAUGUGACCCAAAUACAAAUCCUUAUAACGUUGAAUAAAAUGUGUUUCGGAUUAUGGGUGCAUUUCAUGUGAUGUGAUUCAAAGACAUAUUUUAGACAAUGUCAAAUCUUCUUUACAAAUAAAUAAAAGCGGUUAAGAGUUAAAUUAUGGCAAUAAUAACAAUUGAGCUACCAUGGAACUCGGGAUUGCCUAACACCUUCU